rnacentral:rRNA from 1 species
UACAGAGGGUGCGAGCGUUAAUCGGAAUUACUGGGCGUAAAGCGUGCGUAGACGGUUAUGUAAGUCAGGUGUGAAAGCCCCGGGCUCAACCUGGGAAUUGCAUUUGAGACUGCAUAGCUAGGGUGCGGAAGAGGGAAGCGGAAUUUCCGGUGUAGCGGUGAAAUGCGUAGAUAUCGGAAGGAAUACCAGUGGCGAAAGCGGCUUCCUGGUCCAGCACCGACGUUCAGGCACGAAAGCGUGGGGAGCAAACAGG